rnacentral:tRNA from 1 species
GGAGUAUAGCUCAGUGGUAGAGCGCUCCCUUGGCAUGGGAGAGGGCUGGGGUUCAAUUCCCCAUAACUCCA